UACGUAGGUGGCAAGCGUUGUCCGGAAUUAUUGGGCGUAAAGCGCGCGCAGGCGGUCCUUUUAGUCUGAUGUGAAAGCCCACGGCUCAACCGUGGAGGGUCAUUGGAAACUGGGGGACUUGAGUGCAGGAGAGAAGAGUGGAAUUCCACGUGUAGCGGUGAAAUGCGUAGAGAUGUGGAGGAACACCAGUGGCGAAGGCGGCAUCCUGGACCGAGAUUGACGCUGAGGCGCGAAAGCUAGGGUAGCAAACGGG
rnacentral:rRNA from 1 species